rnacentral:rRNA from 1 species
UACGGAGGGUGCAAACGUUGCUCGGAAUCAUUGGGCGUAAAGCGCACGUAGGCGGCGCGUUAAGUCGGGUGUGAAAGCCCUGGGCUCAACCCAGGAAGUGCAUUCGAAACUGGCGCGCUUGAAUAUGGAAGAGGGUUGCGGAAUUCCCGGUGUAGAGGUGAAAUUCGUAGAUAUCGGGAGGAACACCAGUGGCGAAGGCGGCGACCUGGGCCAAUAUUGACGCUGAGGUGCGAAAGCGUGGGGAGCAAACAGG